rnacentral:rRNA from 1 species
UAUUGGGCAAUGGGGGAAACCCUGACCCAGCAACGCCGCGUGAGGGAAGAAGGUUUUCGGAUCGUAAACCUCUGUCCUUGGUGAAGAGAAAGAGACGGUAGCCAAGGAGGAAGCCCCGGCUAACUACGUGCCAGCAGCCGCGGUAAUACGUAGGGGGCGAGCGUUGUCCGGAAUGAUUGGGCGUAAAGGGCGCGUAGGCGGCCCGGUAAGUCUGGAGUGAAAGUCCUGCUUUUAAGGUGGGAAUUGCUUUGGAUACUGUCGGGCUUGAGUGCAGGAGAGGUAAGUGGAAUUCCCAGUGUAGCGGUGAAAUGCGUAGAGAUUGGGAGGAACACCAGUGGCGAAGGCGACUUACUGGACUGUAACUGACGCUGAGGCGCGAAAGUGUGGGGAGCAAACAGG